rnacentral:rRNA from 1 species
UACGUAGGCAGCAAGCGUUGUUCGGAGUUACUGGGCGUAAAGGGUGUGUAGGCGGGUCUUUAAGUUUGCUGUGAAAUCUCCCGGCUUAACCGGGAGGGUGCGGUGAAUACUGAGGGACUAGAGUACGGGAGAGGAAAGUGGAAUUCCUGGUGUAGCGGUGAAAUGCGUAGAUAUCAGGAGGAACACCGGUGGUGUAGACGGCUUUCUGGACCGACACUGACGCUGAGACACGAAAGCGUGGGUAGCAAACAGG